AAUCAGUUGAUGGGAAUUGUAUUUAAUAAAAACGUAUUAAACUAAAUAUUUCAAUAAACUGAGAAGUAAAAAAAAACGCUGUUCUCUUGAUUAAAUCUUCAUCUAAGAAAAGCACUGAAAUGCACCAACAUUGGCUUUUGGAUUAACAUUCCAGCUGGAGCAAGUGUGGGCAGCAUCUUACUGAUGAGGAUCAGAGCUGCAUUCCACGCUGACGCCGUCACACACAGCGAGCCACCGAUGGAAGGAUCGCUACCAGGAGGACAUCCUGAACUGUGUGUCGUCACCUCUGGAAUGCAACGGAAAGGCAGGAAAAGUUUCCCAUUGUGUACAAUACUAAACUACCAGGGUUAUAUGCACAAGCAGGUCCUCUUUGUUUCCAGAGAUGUGAACUUGUAUCCCCA
ensembl:lncRNA